UCCGGGAUCGUCUAAUGGGCAGCUAGCGGGUUUUGGACCCGCUAGCUGGAGUUCGAAUCUCUGUCCCGGAGCCA
rnacentral:tRNA from 1 species